CUGCUCACUUCCACAUCUCACACACUAAAAUUGGAAUGAUACAGAGAAGAUGUGCUUGGCCCCUGCUCAAGGAUGACAUGCAAAUCUAUGAUGUGGUGGCUGUUCUU